CCAAAGUCUUAUUAUAUCCAAAGUGCCCUGCUGCUGGAAAGUCAUGACGUGCUUGAAGAACACGUAAACGUGCUUCUCCUUCUGGAACAUAUAGGCGUCCUUCAAAAUAUAAUAGAUUAUUCUUGAACUCGAACUUAGAAGGAUCAUGAGACUUAGAGGAAUUAUUCUCGAUAUCAUAAACAAGAGGGUCUGAGGACAUACUGGACUAGAUUUG
rnacentral:lncRNA from 1 species